GAAAUGCGAUAAGUAAUGUGAAUUGCAGAAUUCAGUGAAUCAUCGAAUCUUUGAACGCACAUUGCGCCCCCUGGUAUUCCGGGGGGCAUGCCUGUUCGAGCGUCAUUUCACCACUCAAGCCUCGCUUGGUAUUGGGCGACGCGGUCCGCCGCGCGCCUCAAAUCGACCGGCUGGGUCUUUCGUCCCCUCAGCGUUGUGGAAACUAUUCGCUAAAGGGUGCCGCGGGAGGCCACGCCGUAAAACAACCCCAUUUCUAAGGUUUACCUCGGAUCAGGUAGGGAUACCCGCUGAACUUAAGC
rnacentral:misc_RNA from 1 species